rnacentral:rRNA from 1 species
GAUGAACGCUGGCGGCGUGCCUAAUACAUGCAAGUCGAGCGAACAGACGAGGAGCUUGCUCUCUGACGUUAGCGGCGGACGGGUGAGUAACACGUGGAUAACCUACCUAUAAGACUGGGAUAACUUCGGGAAACCGGAGCUAAUACCGGAUAAUAUAUUGAACCGCAUGGUUCAAUAGUGAAAGACGGUUUUGCUGUCACUUAUAGAUGGAUCCGCGCCGCAUUAGCUAGUUGGUAAGGUAACGGCUUACCAAGGCAACGAUGCGUAGCCGACCUGAGAGGGUGAUCGGCCACACUGGAACUGAGACACGGUCCAGACUCCUACGGGAGGCAGCAGUAGGGAAUCUUCCGCAAUGGGCGAAAGCCUGACGGAGCAACGCCGCGUGAGUGAUGAAGGUCUUCGGAUCGUAAAACUCUGUUAUUAGGGAAGAACAAAUGUGUAAGUAACUAUGCACGUCUUGACGGUACCUAAUCAGAAAGCCACGGCUAACUACGUG